rnacentral:lncRNA from 1 species
CGCGGGUCGACAGUAAGCGAGGCCCAGAGUUCGGGUGAUCUGAAUCGAUGGUUCCCCCAGAUCAGAGCCUGCAAGCAUGUGCACUAUCUGGGGACUUCCGUCGCCUGCACCGCCAAGGUUCUUGGUCGGGAACUUCCGCGGCUUGCAGGUGAGCCCUGCUCCAGCUGCUGCUGGUGUGGCUGAAGAGGAUGUGGC